rnacentral:rRNA from 1 species
CCUACGGGAGGCAGCAGUGAGGAAUAUUGGUCAAUGGACGGAAGUCUGAACCAGCCAUGCCGCGUGCAGGAAGACGGCUCUAUGAGUUGUAAACUGCUUUUGUACAAGGGUAAACCUGAAUACGUGUAUUCAGCUGAAAGUACUGUACGAAUAAGGAUCGGCUAAUUCCGUGCCAGCAGCCGCGGUAAUACGGAGGAUCCAAGCGUUAUCCGGAUUUAUUGGGUGUAAAGGGCGUGCAGCCGGAGGGACAAGUCAGAUGUGAAAUCCACGGGCUCAACCAGUGAACUGCAUGUGAAACUGGUUGCAUUGAGUGUGGGGAAGGUAAUCGGAAUUCGUGGUGUAGCGGUGAAAUGCGUAGAUAUAAGGAAGAACACCGGUGGCGAAGGCAGAUUACUGGACGGUAACUGACGGUGAGGCGCGAAGGCGUGGGGAGCGAACAGGAUUAGAUACCCUUGUAGUC